rnacentral:misc_RNA from 1 species
GCUGAAUCAGUUGUGGGG